AUACUUACCUGGACGGGGUCAAUGGGUGAUCAACAAGGCCUAUGGCCUAGGUCAGUGACUUCCAUUGCACUUGGGAGGGGUGCUGGUCUAAGGUCUCCUCAAAGUAGGAGAGCCUACGUCAUAAUUUGUGGCAGUGGGGGCCUGCGUUCGCGCGGCCCCUUC
rnacentral:snRNA from 1 species